rnacentral:rRNA from 1 species
UGGGGAAUAUUGGACAAUGGAGGAAACUCUGAUCCAGCAAUUCUGUGUGUGUGAAGAAGGUUUUAGGACUGUAAAACACUUUUAGUAGGGAAGAAAAAAAUGACGGUACCUACAGAAGAAGCCCCGGCUAACUUCGUGCCAGCAGCCGCGGUAAUACGAAGGGGGCUAGCGUUGUUCGGAUUUACUGGGCGUAAAGCGCACGUAGGCGGACUUUUAAGUCAGGGGUGAAAUCCCGGGGCUCAACCCCGGAACUGCCUUUGAUACUGGAAGUCUUGAGUAUGGUAGAGGUGAGUGGAAUUCCGAGUGUAGAGGUGAAAUUCGUAGAUAUUCGGAGGAACACCAGUGGCGAAGGCGGCUCACUGGACCAUUACUGACGCUGAGGUGCGAAAGCGUGGGGAGCAAACAGG